UACAGAGGGUGCGAGCGUUAAUCGGAAUUACUGGGCGUAAAGCGUGCGUAGACGGUUAUUUAAGUCGGGUGUGAAAGCCCCGGGCUCAACCUGGGAAUUGCAUUCGAGACUGAAUAGCUAGAGUACGGUAGAGGGAAGUGGAAUUUCCGGUGUAGCGGUGAAAUGCGUAGAUAUCGGAAGGAACACCAGUGGCGAAAGCGACUUCCUGGACCAGUACCGACGUUCAGGCACGAAAGCGUGGGGAGCAAACAGG
rnacentral:rRNA from 1 species